rnacentral:rRNA from 1 species
UUACUACUAACAUUUGAAAUGGAGUGAGAGGAUUGAAUACGCAAGCCCCUAAUUGGUUUGGGGUGUAAGCAACAAGAGAGCUCUUUUAGGAAAAUCCGGAAGAGUGUUUCUACUUCGGUGGAUGAACACGAGUUGCGAUGCAAAGGUGACCUUCGGGAAACCGAUUUGUACUAUUUAAUUCUCCAGGAAAAUCUUCUAUCAAUAAUUACUUCGGUAAUUAUAAAAAUGUUUGUAACCGUACUGCAAUCCGACACUGGUGGACAAGUGUAAAUGCACUAAAGCGUACGAGUGAUACAUUGUUAAGGAAUUCGGCAAAUUGACCCCGUAAGUUCGCAAUAAGGGGGACUCUCCAUCAUAAGUUUUAUUAUUUGUGGUGAUGAGAGUGGCACAGAAUAGGGAAGAACGACUAGUUACCAAAACUACAGGCGCUUGCAAACUCGUAAGAGGAUGUAUAAGUGCUGACACCUGCCCAAUGCCAGAAGGUUAAGGUGAUUCAUUAGCUCUCUGCUGGGUGCACUUCGGUGCCCUAGUGGUUGCGAAGUGGAAAGCCGAAGCCCUGGUCAAUGGCGGCUGUAACUAUAACGGUCCUAAGGUAGCGUAAUACCUCGUCACUUAAUUAGUGACUUGCAUGAAAGGUGUAACGAUUCUUCCUCUGUCUCAACAAUGUGCUCGGUGAAAUUGAAAUGGCUGUGAAGAUGCGGCCUACCUAUACCAGGACAAAAAGACCCCGUGGAGCUUUACUUCAGCUUUGCAUUGAGAUAAGGUUUCGGAUGUAUAGAAUAUGUGGGAGACUAUGAAGCAGUUUCGUCAGGAAUUGUGGAGUCGACAGUGUAAUACCACUCUUUUGGUAUUUUAUUUCUAACAGUAUCCAUUAUCUGGAUUCUAGACAGUGCAUGGUAGGAAGUUUGACUGGGGCGGUUGCUUGCUAAAGAGUACCGCAAGCGCACUAAGGUCUCCUCAACCCGGAUGGAAAUCGGGUGAAGAGUGCAUAAGCAUAAGGAGGCUUUACUGUGAGAGGGACACCUCGAUCAGUUACGAAAGUAGGUUUAAGUGACCCUUUGGUUGCGCGUGGAAGCGCCAUUGUUUAACGGAGAUAAGCUACCCCGGGGAUAACAGGCUAGUCUUGCCCGAUAGUUCAUAUUGACGGCAAGGUUCGGCACCUCGAUGUCGGCUCGUCGCAUCCUGGGAUUGGAUAAGAUCCCAAGGGUUGGACUGUUCGUCCAUUAAAGCGGCACGUGAGCUGGGUUCAGACCGGCGUAAGCCAGGUCGGUCUCUAUCCGGUAUAGGCGUUGUAUAUUUGAGGAAUUCGGCCCCUAGUACGAAAGGAUCGGGGCGUGAUAACCUCUGGUCUACCAGCUGUUCUACCAAGAGCAUCGCUGGGUAGCUAAGUUAUUAUCGGAUAAGCACUGAAAGCAUAUAAGUGCGAAACCUUUUCCAAGAUUAAAUAUACUUGUGUAGCUUGACUACACGGAAGGUCUGUAGGAGACUACUACAUUGAUAGGCUCUAGGUGUAAGUGUAGUGAUACAUUUAGCCGAGGAGUACUAAUAGACCAAAAGCUUC